rnacentral:rRNA from 1 species
UACGUAGGGUGCAAGCGUUGUCCGGAAUUAUUGGGCGUAAAGAGCUCGUAGGCGGUGUGUCGCGUCGGCCGUGAAAACUUGCAGCUUAACUGUGGGCGUGCGGUCGAUACGGGCAUCACUGGAGUUCGGCAGGGGAGACUGGAAUUCCUGGUGUAGCGGUGAAAUGCGCAGACUAUCAGGAGGAACACCGGUGGGCGAAGGCGGGUCUCUGGGCCGAUACUGAC